rnacentral:rRNA from 1 species
AACCUGGUUGAUCCUGCCAGUAGUCAUAUGCUUGUCUCAAAGAUUAAGCCAUGCAUGUCUAAGUAUAAACUGCUUUAUACUGUGAAACUGCGAAUGGCUCAUUAAAUCAGUUAUAGUUUAUUUGAUGGUACCUACUUACUCGGAUACCCGUAGUAAUUCUAGAGCUAAUACGUGCGCACAUCCCGACUUCUGGAAGGGACGUAUUUAUUAGAUAAAAGGCCGACCGGGCUUGCCCGACUCGCGGUGACUCAUGAUAACUUCACGAAUCGCAUGGCCUCGCGCCGGCGAUGUUUCAUUCAAAUUUCUGCCCUAUCAACUUUUGAUGGUAGGAUAGAGGCCUACCAUGGUGGUAACGGGUGACGGAGAAUUAGGGUUCGAUUCCGGAGAGGGAGCCUGAGAAACGGCUACCACAUCCAAGGAAGGCAGCAGGCCCGCCAAUUACCCCAUUCUGACACAGGGGAAGUAGUGAACAAUAAAUAACAAUAACCGGGCCUUUGGGUCUGGGUAAUUGGAAAUGAAGUACCACCCU